ACCUCCAUAAUUUCUCAACAAUAAUAAACGCCAAAACCAAAAUCGAUACGAUCUACCUGGGCCAAUUGGUAGGGUCGAAAAUCGAAUUGGAAAACGCGG
rnacentral:sRNA from 1 species